rnacentral:rRNA from 1 species
CCUACGGGUGGCAGCAGUGAGGAAUAUUGGUCAAUGGACGAGAGACUGAACCAGCCAAGUAGCGUGAAGGAUGACUGCCCUAUGGGUUGUAAACUUCUUUUAUAUGGGAAUAAAAUGUUCCACGUGUGGGAUUUUGUAUGUACCAUAUGAAUAAGGAUCGGCUAACUCCGUGCCAGCCGCCGCGGUAAUACGGAGGAUCCGAGCGUUAUCCGGAUUUAUUGGGUUUAAAGGGAGCGUAGGUGGAUUGUUAAGUCAGUUGUGAAAGUUUGCGGCUCAACCGUAAAAUUGCAGUUGAUACUGGCAGUCUUGAGUACAGUAGAGGUGGGCGGAAUUCGUGGUGUAGCGGUGAAAUGCUUAGAUAUCACGAAGAACUCCGAUUGCGAAGGCAGCUCACUGGACUGCAACUGACACUGAGGCUCGAAGGCCUGGGGAGCGAAAAGGAUUAGAUACCCCAGUAGUC